ACGCCAUGAUCUUUCGAAACAAAGAUAAUGUAAGGAACAAGUAGACUUAACACCGUGUAACCGUGGUAAACAUCAAAGUGGUUCAUCAAUCUUUUACGAUUUCAGUUUCAAGUUUUGCUGAGGUCGAAGUGAAGUUUUGAAUUAAUGAUCUGUAAGCGGGCUCCUGCAAACGUCGUCAGCUUCUCAGUGAGAAACCUGCUGUCGAAGGAAGAGUUCGUGGGUUUAAAUGGAUUACACAGAGAAGACAAAAUGUCUGUAUAAUGUCGAUACAUAAUGACAGACUCAGGAAAUUGAAUUAAUCGAACUUACGCCAUAUUAAUACAAACUGACUGUUGUCUAACACAGGCGGAGAGUGAAACUAGUCAGAGGAAAAUUAAUUCACUACGGUAUCUGAAAAUAGUAAACUCUUGCAAUGUGCAGACUUCCUUUGUGGUAACAUCUUCGGAAGUUUCGUGCAGGACAUCACGUUGUUACCAUAGCUCGUCGUGAAGACCGGACUUUGUGCCAAAAAUGGCCAGCCUAUGCUGCCAGUAGUGCAGUGCAGUGUUAGAAGUGAGUAUAUAUAUAUAUUGUAUCAUAUUCUGCAUUGAUUGCUUCAUCAUCUUUGGAGAACCAAACUGCACCGUAUAGGUAACAUUUCUCUAGGCUACACAGCUACAGAUUACGGUCUUCCGGGAUGUGAUGCCGUGUAAUUUGGUAAAGAGAACAACGUUUCGAAGGAACCUGCUAUCUCCAUCUUCAGAAUUUAAGUGUCACUGCUACAGUUUGCAAAGCAGCGCAGUGUUCGUACUGUACAUUCUUUGCAAGGAAAACAACACGUGUAAGAAAAAAGCCACGCAUAGUACAACCUUUUCUCUAGCUUUUUAGAAUACCGGAUGAUGGACACUGCCCACAAACCAUGGAGGCAUUCAGAGCACUGGAGGACCGAUAUGGAGACCGACAUAUGCCCAUAAGGCGUCGCAGAUGCCUGGAGAAACAGACCCAGGGCAAUGGUGGGUCCCGGCAGAAGGUGGCCGUCAGCCACGGACGGUUGACCCGGAUUCCAGUUUCUGCGUUGAGUAAGGAAUAUGGUUUUAGGGGACCUAGCAAGACACCUGGCAACAGAAUCAGAGGAUGAAGCAGGAGACAUUUUAUGAGGCCCUGGGACAAACAGUCGGGCUGGAGAUUGUGAAGUGAACAGUCAGGUCUUCUGUGAGGAUUCAGAAAAAGAGUGUGAAUCCAUUGUGUGGAAGAUGGCCACUGCUGAAGUGGAAAAAGUUACUGCAGGCAGCUUAAGGGGCAGAAAUGUAGGAGCGCCGGUCACUCUGGGAAGUUUUGCCCACACCAACCAGAAAGGAAGAAAUGAUGGAACAUGAUACUGUGCUACUCUGCACUAGGAGUGACAAGGUCUGAUGCCAUCCUGUACAGACGCUAAUGUGCAGAAGCAGGGCACAUG